rnacentral:ncRNA from 1 species
GAUAGCCGUAUGAGGGAAAACCUCACGUACGGUUAGAUGAGGGUCUGCUGGCAUAUUGGCCAUGGUCAGGCUAGUGAGGCACUCCCAGAGGAAACGGGGAGAAACUGAUAGGCAUUGACCUAAAUCUUUUAUGCCAGGGUCUACUCUAC